UACGGGGGGAGCAAGCGUUGUUCGGAUUUACGGGGCGUAAAGGGCGCGUAGGCGGCCAGCACAAGUCAGUUGUGAAAUCUCCGGGCUUAACUCGGAAAGGUCAACUGAUACUGUGCGGCUAGAGUGCAGAAGGGGCAACUGGAAUUCUCGGUGUAGCGGUGAAAUGCGUAGAUAUCGAGAGGAACACCUGCGGCGAAGGCGGGUUGCUGGGCUGACACUGACGCUGAUGCGCGAAAGCGUGGGGAGCGAACAGG
rnacentral:rRNA from 1 species